rnacentral:lncRNA from 1 species
CAAGAAGUUCUCCAUUAGCUGUGUGUUUUUCUCUAAGGAAAUUAUCGCUUUUUAAUCUGCCAUUCAUCUCAUCCACAGAGGAACAAAGUGGAUUUUCAGGUAACAAGCAUGAAGACUGCAUAAAGUAAAAUUAUUUCUCAUCAGAAAGUGGAAAGACGACUGAGCCUGCUCUGUGAUGAGAGCAUCAUAAAAUCCCUUCGCCUACAACAGUGGAUAUGCU